rnacentral:rRNA from 1 species
AGUGAACGCUGGCGGUAGGCCUAACACAUGCAAGUCGAACGGCAGCACAGAGGAGCUUGCUCCUUGGGUGGCGAGUGGCGGACGGGUGAGGAAUACAUCGGAAUCUACUCUGUCGUGGGGGAUAACGUAGGGAAACUUACGCUAAUACCGCAUACGACCUACGGGUGAAAGCAGGGGACCUUCGGGCCUUGCGCGAUUGAAUGAGCCGAUUUCGGAUUAGCUAGUUGGCGGGGUAAAGGCCCACCAAGGCGACGAUCCGUAGCUGGUCUGAGGGGAUGAUCAGCCACACGGGAACUGAGACACGGUCCAGACUCCUACGGGAGGCAGCAGUGGGGAAUAUUGGACAAUGGGCGCAAGCCUGAUCCAGCCAUACCGCGUGGGUGAAGAAGGCCUUCGGGUUGUAAAGCCCUUUUGUUGGGAAAGAAAUCCAGCUGGCUAAUACCCGGUUGGGAUGACGGUACCCAAAGAAUAAGCACCGGCUAACUUCGUGCCAGCAGCCGCAGUAA